AAGAAAAAGGAAAAGAAGAAGGGAAAAAGAAGAGGAAAGGAGGGAUAUUGCACGAAUUGGAGCUCAAGUGUGGGGAUUAUUCAUUUCAAAUUUUCAGCAAGGAGGUAACGAGGCGAUUGGAAACGUCUAUCAGUCUAUCUAACUUGUAGCUCAUACCUUGAGAAGGUUGAUUUUGAGAUAUUUGGAAAAGCCUGCUGAAGCAAAAGAGACCGUUUCCUAAGUAUGUAAUGAAUAGUUGGGAGACUUAUGUUUAUUAAGUAAUUGUCUAAUUUUGGGUGACAAGCAUAUUCGUAGAAGGGUUUGUAAGUGAUGUAAUACUUGCAUGUUGACAUGAUAAUGUUGUAGAAAUAUUCAGUCGAAUUUUGUUAUAUUCUGUAGUAGUUGUGGUGGUAUUAGAGGAAGUGGUGGUUUUCAAAACUUUUGGUUUAAAUGUCUAUUUGAGAUUUUGAUAAUUUUUCAGGUUGGUUUUGUCUAUGUUACAAGGGAAAUUUUAUCAAAAUUUUCAUAGAAAUUAGCACAGUCAAAAUAGGUCAAGUUUGCCUUGGUGGUAGGUCCGGCAUUUAGCUGGCAUCUACUACUGGCGUACAACACGUGUCGAGUCAAUUAGGUUGAGUCGGGACGGGUCGUGUCAG